rnacentral:lncRNA from 1 species
AAAAAAAAAAAGUUGGGGAAGAUUAGAAAAAAGUUCAAGAUAAAUAUUCAAAAUAUUAUUAAGUACAUGACUAAAAGCUAAUUACUACAUAUGAUAAAUACAGUGUUGGUAAUAUAGAUCAUUUCUUUUCAGCCAUGAUGCUUAAUGAUAUUUAUCUUAUUCAGAGGAAAAACAAAAAAGGUACCCACUUCCCAUGUAGAAAAAAUUAGACUCCACAAAGAAGUUGCUUCUUCUGAAAUUAACUUUUGAGAGACCUUGGAAUAAACCAUGUGUUCUCCAUGAUAGUAUGACUCAGAUGCAAUUAAAACAGUUUAAAUCCUGGAUAUAGGAUCUCCUAUAGCAAAACAUUUUACUUUCAUUUUUCAGUAUUUGCUGCUUUCUAGAUUUCUAUUAGAUAAGCUAUGUCAUUUUUCUGAAAAAGAAACUGAGUUAUUGAGUGCAUUAAGACAAGGCACUUAGAACUACAGUGUCAAAAUCAAAAGGCAUAAAUGGGCAUGGCAGUGCUGGUGGAAAAAUCUGUGGUACUAGUGAUCUGGUUAGGGCUUGUUGCACAGGCUGGGAGUAACUGGUUUGCUCUUUCAAGCCUCCAAGAGUACCUUAAACAAGGUGAUAGCUCCUCUCUUCUUUAGCAUUAUAUUCCUUUAGUCAACAAAGAACUUUCUCCACUCUGCUGCCCACCUCUGAGAGUAUCUAAGAUGAGAAUACAGGGAAGAAAGGGUCAUAAAUGAAUAGAAUUAUAGUCAAAAACAUGAAUUAAAUAUCCUUCCUCAAGUUAUAAAGGAUACUUUAAUAGAACAGUCUCCAGAAUUUGCUGCUAUCACACCAAGUCAUGCUGUUGCCCUAUGACCUCACUCUUCCAAUUCCAUGACCUUGUCUUGCUAGGGGGUAAAAAGUCCCAUUUCUUUUACUUUAGUGGGUUUCAACUGCAGCAUUUCAGAAACAAGUUUUGGUUUGACACUCAGGAGAAUAAAAACAAGUUGAGGGCAGAAUGUAUUUGGAAAAGCUUAAGACAAAUUUACUUAUAUUAUUUUAUGAUCAUUUAGGAUUACAGAUCAAUUUACCUCCAUAAAUCUUUGAAUAGUCACUGUGACCACAGGAUGAAAAUCCUGUAUUAGCCAUUUUAUAGGUUAAAACAAAAGAUUGACUACACAGCCGACUUCCCUCAGAUAACUAUAAAGUCUAUUAUGAACAUUGAAUGACCAAAGAACAUGGAAAAAAUACAUAUGAAUAAAUACUGAAAUGUUUAUGAAAGAUAUUUAUGAAAGAUAUUAAGACUUCUGUGUUUAGGUAUGCACAUAUAAUAAAAUACAUCUAAAAACA